AUGAAAUGUUUGAUUUUAGGAAAGAAGAAAACCCUUCUAGAGGUGUUAAAGUAAUCUGAUUCUUUACCAGUCAUGUAAACAAGCAGGUGAGCCAUUUAUGCCUGCAGGUCUCUCUGCAGUGAUGGGUGGUAGCUAGUUAAAUACCUGAAUUCUUUUGUUGUGACCAGCUGCAUCAGGGCAGCUAUUUAUUUCUGUUUGUGUCUGUGCCAGGGAUAUACGCUGCAGUUGCAUCCUGCUGCCUGAUCUGCAUUGCUGUAUCUUUGGCAGAAAUACCCAGCAUAUAUCAUACAGGAUGCAGGGAGAGACUGAACAAUUCUAAACCUUGGAUAGCCAUCCAGAGCAUCUUGCUGUAUGGCUGGAUGGGACAGGAAAGAACAGAAAAUCUCAAGCCUCCAGCAACAACUGGAAGUAGACAUCGUUGGAGACUGGACCCUGGGUUACAGAACCACCCUGUGCCUGCUGCAGUGCAUCUGUGGUCCCACAGGUCAGUGUCUGUGCAGAAACAGAGGAGCGUUGCACAGCAAAGCUCCUGAUGCUCCUGACACUCAUGCUGACUGCCCAGAAAAAAUCAUCUUACACGCUAAUUACAUUACAGUGAUUUAUGUGCCCUGGCAUCCAAAAGUGGUCAGAGCUUGUGGAAAGGACUUUUUUAAAAAAACUUUUCAUAAUGAAAAGAGCACAUUCUUCCUAAUUACUAGUGAAGCCACUGCUCCUACUAAGUACUAAUAUAGGCAUUUCUUCUGCAGCCCUCCAGGGUGAGGCUUUGUUUUCUCAAGUUAUCUGCAUUAUGAGCAAGAAACAAGCUGUAGACCACACUGCAAUUCCCAGCAGUGCUGAGCUUUUACUUCCAAGUGAAGUACCUGAAGUGCUCCUGACCUCUGGAAGUUGCCUUCUGGCUGAUAACUAAUUAUAUUAUCUGGCUGAUAUUAAUUAGUUAUUACAACAAUUAUUAUAAUAUUUAUAUUAGUCAUUAACAUGUUAAUUGUAAUAAUUAUUCUAAGUUAUUAUUGUAACUAAUUAUUAUUAUCUGGAUGAUAAUAAGAUUUCUGAUCUGUUUCUGCAGGGCUCUGUCCUGGCAGGAUACUCUCCCCUCUCCUUGUAUAUACGCUCUCCCAGAGCAUCUCCAAGUACCACUUGGGUGUCAUAAAUUUUCAUUAUGCAUGUAAGAGAAAUAUAUAAGAGAAGGUAGGUAUGUUUGGAAAGAAAACAUGACUGCUUUAGCCCUCCACUGCAGCACUACAGAACAGGAAAGGACCAACAGGAUAGCCGAGUGAAACCACAGCCGUAAUUGUAGUGGAGUGGUUUCAUAAAGAACUGCUAUAUUUAUGAUUACGAGUGCAUAAGAGCUCUUACAGAAACUGUUCUCUAACCAUUUUGUCUCUCUUAGCACUUUGGAAGGGUGAGGCUAAAUUUGUGUUUUAAAAAUUGCACCAAAAACGAUUGGAUUAUAUUACAGAGUGAUGUACUGUAUCGUGUUCUCUGCUAGUCCUAAAUUGACUGAAAGCCUCUUUAAGCUGUCAGACUCCUAAGACAGUAUCAAAGACACUGUAAAAGAAUCAGGAUUUUUUUAGGAAAAGAGUUGCUAUAUAAAGAUUUUUUUCUGAGUGUUUUUGUGAGAGGGGCAACCCCAUUGACUGGAAUUCCUGUGCUCCAAAAGCAGUGCACAACAUAUGCCAAGAACUGUGGCAAUGAUAAAAGCAGCGUAAGAACACCACGAGGCACUGAAAGCCUGGAAAUUCUGUUUUUGAAAGGAAACGUGGUGGAAACUGGAAAAAGCUUUACAGGAAAGUGGCGUUGCUAUCCUGAUACUGUGUCCUGCCUGGAAGAAGAAAUUAUCUCAAAGCAAACACCCAGAGACCAUCACACAAAGGAACAAACAAACCAAACCAAACCAAAAAAAAAAACUCCUUUUCACAGAAGCACUGAAAUUAAAGCAGAGAAAGCUUAAUUUCCAUAGGCAGAGCAGGGCUGCAGAGAGCAGCGUUACACUUCUUUGCUUCCAUAUUAGUUCAUUAGAGGGGUCUGCGACAUCUGGCCCGCACGCCCUGACCCUACUGGUGAUGAAUGGAUUUAAUCUCUGGCAUGUGACACUGGCGUUCGUGAUUCCUGCAGGUUAAUUGAUUUCUUUUGGCAAAGCACAGCUCCAAGUCCCGUUGUCUGAGCAGCACGACUGACUGCAGAGAGAAAAUAAGGCGUCUUGAAAAAGAAAUUCUCCCAUACCCAGCAAAUAACAGGUAGGAUAUGAGAGAGGCUUGGCCAGGCAGGCAGUUAUCGUUGCCAAAGGUGCGCGGUGCCAAGUGCAGAUGGCCUGUCAGAUAGCUGGGAGAUGGACACUGGGUUUGAGUCCAGCACGGAGCUCUAAGCUGCUAAUAGCAAAAUACUCACUUGUCUUCUCUCACAGGCAGACAUGCAGCUAAUAACAAAUCCUUCUCUGUAAAUUCUUCCAAGAAGACCACCAAACCCUGUCAGCAAGAGCAGACGGGACCCAGUCGACAGCACAGACACCACGCACAUGGCAGGCAGAGAAGCCUUACUCAGCAGCUGCCAACCUUAUUAAAGAUACUGCCUUACUGUUCAGCAGUGUGUCAAGCCGGAAUUAAGCUGCAGUCUCCAGAAAUCUGAUGGUAGGAUGACAGAGUAUUUUUAACAUGGGAGUGGGCAUAUCCAGAAAGAAUGCAGAAGUCAUUCGAGAGAGAUUGCUUUGUUAGCCAUUGUUUAUGACAACUGGGACAGAUCGCAACGGUAGGAUCAGGAACUGAGUAAUGUAAAAUUCAGAAAUGAGGGUGAAUCGGACCAGGAAAGAGAAGGAUGCUGAAAAAGAGAGUACAGCAAAAGCAGGUCUGAUGCCUGCAUAACUAAGGUUCUUCACUAAGUGGACCAGUGACUGGUUUGGGAGCUGGCAUGCUUUGGGAGGAACAGAGUACAACCAAAUCUGCUCAGGCUAGACAACAACAGACAAAAAUAAACACAUUUAUUCAGGAUAAAAGAGAGCUGUAGGUUGUGAUCUCUCUACUACUUACUACCCUAUCACCAAAUUGUGUUUUUGGCUCCCAGCUGCAAUAAAAGUCACCCUGAGCACCUAGUAACUUCUGCUCAUCUUGCCAUGUCCCCAAGGGAUCAGCACUGCUUAGACUUGUGUGUA